AUUGAACGCUGGCGGCAUGCCUUACACAUGCAAGUCGAACGGUAACAGGUCUUCGGAUGCUGACGAGUGGCGAACGGGUGAGUAAUACAUCGGUACGUGCCUAGUAGUGGGGGAUAACUACUCGAAAGAGUGGCUAAUACCGCAUGAGAUCUACGGAUGAAAGCAGGGGAUCGCAAGACCUUGUGCUACUAGAGCGGCCGAUGGCAGAUUAGGUAGUUGGUGGGAUAAAAGCUUACCAAGCCGACGAUCUGUAGCUGGGCUGAGAGGACGAUCAGCCACACUGGGACUGAGACACGGCCCAGACUCCUACGGGAGGCAGCAGUGGGGAAUUUUGGACAAUGGGCGAAAGCCUGAUCCAGCAAUGCCGCGUGCAGGAUGAAGGCCUUCGGGUUGUAAACUGCUUUUGUACGGAACGAAAAGCCCCGGGUUAAUACCCUGGGGUCAUGACGGUACCGUAAGAAUAAGCACCGGCUAACUACGUGCCAGCAGCCGCGGUAA
rnacentral:rRNA from 1 species